rnacentral:lncRNA from 1 species
CUAAUAUGUGGAUGUAGAAUAAAAAAUUUUUCAAAAGAGAAGAAAGUAGAAGAGAAACUGUUAAGAAUAGAAAAAAGGGAUUGGUAGAGAAGGGAAGAAAAGAAAAGCAGAGGGGGAAAUGAUCAAAUAUAUGCAUGUACAAAUAUGACAAAAUGCAACUCAUAUUGUGUAUAACUAUUACCUGUGAAUAGACUGCCUUUGUCACCUGCAAAUAUUCUUUUUCCUAAGAAUGGGUCAUUACCUUCUGUAGGUGGGCCAUCCUUUGCCAUUGGGCCCAAUACAGAACUUCCUAUGCAGUCUCCACCCUCUUGAGAGAAAUAUAAAUGUUUACAUUUGAGGAAAUAGUGUGCCUUUCUGUCCUGCAGCACUGUACUCUCUUCCUUUAAGUGUUCACUUUUAAAUUUCUGAACAAUAAAUGCCUUUAUGCCUAUUUAAGAACAAGAAGCUUCCAUGUAAUAUUCAUUUUUUCCAAAUAUUCCUUGACAGUUUCAGUGUUUCAUUAGAUGUCUUAAUAAAUUCUGGACAUUUUUCAUGUUUUAAAUUUUGCCUCUAUACCAUUCACUUGAACUUUUGACAGCUGCAAACAUUGGAACUAAAUAUACUGAAAGCUUUCUUCUUGUGUGAUAGGUCUUCGAAUUCCAGUUGACUGCUGAGGACAUGAAAGUCCUAGAUGGCCUGCACAGAAACUUGCGAUAUCUUCCUAUUGAGUUCACUCAGGACCACCCUGAGUAUCCAUUCGCUGAUGAAUAUUAACAUGGAGCACAUUGCCCUGACUGCUGCUAGAAAUUCCUUUCUGUGGAGAAUGGUGCAGAAGACAUAUCAGACACUACUGUUCCACACAUCCUCCUCAGCAAACCAUGCUGAUUAGUAACUGUCACAGCUUGAGUUGAGUUGAACUGUCCAGAAGAAAAAGGAGCUACAUUAACAUCAGAUUUUUGGAAAAAAAAAAACAAAGAAUUUUUUAAAGAUUCUUGCAUUGUGCUGUUUCUGUUAUUUGUCUGGUGUGUUUAUUUUGGUCUCAUUAUGGCUGAAAAUAGACUUGGCUGGAGAUCUGUGGGAAAGGCUAUAUCAGGAGGUGGGA